GCGCCAGUGGUUUAGUGGUAAAAUCCAUCGUUGCCAUCAUCGAUGGGCCCCGUGUUCGAUUCACGGCUGACGCA
rnacentral:tRNA from 1 species